UACAGAGGGUGCAAGCGUUAAUCGGAAUUACUGGGCGUAAAGCGUGCGCAGACGGUUGCGUAAGUCAGAUGUGAAAGCCCCGGGCUCAACCUGGGAAUUGCAUUUGAGACUGCGUAGCUAGGGUGCGGAAGAGGGAAGCGGAAUUACCGGUGUAGCGGUGAAAUGCGUAGAUAUCGGAAGGAACACCAGUGGCGAAAGCGGCUUCCUGGUCCAGCACCGACGUUCAGGCACGAAAGCGUGGGGAGCAAACAGG
rnacentral:rRNA from 1 species